rnacentral:rRNA from 1 species
AGAGAUGUGUGAUGACGCAUAUCAAUAAGCGGAGGAAAAGAAACUAACAAGGAAUUCCCUUAGUAACGGCGAGUGAAGCGGGAAGAGCUCAAAUUUGAAAUCUUCAAGGUUCUACCUUGACGAAUUGUAGUUUAUAGAAGUGUUUUCUGUUAGUAGGAGUGGCAAAAGUUCUUUGGAAUAGGACAUCAUAGAGGGUGAGAAUCCCGUAUUUGGUCAUUCUUCCUAGCGUUGUGAUACACUUUCAACGAGUCGGAUUGUUUGGGAAUGCAGUCCAAAAUGGGUGGUAAAUUUCAUCUAAAGCUAAAUAUUGGCGAGAGACCGAUAGCGAACAAGUACCGUGAGGGAAAGAUGAAAAGAACUUUGAAAAGAGAGUUAAACAGUACGUGAAAUUGUCAAAAGGAAAGCGUUUGACACCAGUGUUGUUUUUCCGAAAAUCAAUUACGAAUGUUUUAUUUUUGAGAAGUUAUGACUUCAUCGGCUUGCUUCUCUCUUUAUGAAACUUUCUUAAUGCACUUUUCGGUUAACAAGUCAACAUCAAUUUCUUUUGUUGUAAAAGGGUAUGAGGAAGGUGGCUUUCUUUUCGGAGAAAGUGUUUAUAGCCUUGUACCUCUGCAAUCGGAGAGAUUGAGGUCUGCAGCGUAGAUCCUUCGGGGUUAGAUACAUUUGUGCUAAGUUAUAGCUUUUCAUAGACAACUUGUUGACUAUGUUUAGUCUUGUAGCUUACUCGCUUAUGCUAUUUUACCUACGCUUAGGAUGUUGAUAGUCACAGCGUGUAC